AGAGUUUGAUCCUGGCUCAGAGUGAACGCUGGCGGCGUGCCUAAUACAUGCAAGUCGAACGAUGAAGCUUCUAGCUUGCUAGAAUGCUGAUUAGUGGCGCACGGGUGAGUAACGCAUAGGUCAUGUGCCUCUUAGUUUGGGAUAGCCAUUGGAAACGAUGAUUAAUACCAGAUACUCCCUACGGGGGAAAGAUUUAUCGCUAAGAGAUCAGCCUAUGUCCUAUCAGCUUGUUGGUAAGGUAAUGGCUUACCAAGGCUAUGACGGGUAUCCGGCCUGAGAGGGUGAACGGACACACUGGAACUGAGACACGGUCCAGACUCCUACGGGAGGCAGCAGUAGGGAAUAUUGCUCAAUGGGGGAAACCCUGAAGCAGCAACGCCGCGUGGAGGAUGAAGGUUUUAGGAUUGUAAACUCCUUUUGUUAGAGAAGAUAAUGACGGUAUCUAACGAAUAAGCACCGGCUAACUCCGUGCCAGCAGCCGCGGUAAUACGGAGGGUGCAAGCGUUACUCGGAAUCACUGGGCGUAAAGAGCGCGUAGGCGGGAUAGUCAGUCAGGUGUGAAAUCCUAUGGCUUAACCAUAGAACUGCAUUUGAAACUACUAUUCUAGAGUGUGGGAGAGGUAGGUGGAAUUCUUGGUGUAGGGGUAAAAUCCGUAGAGAUCAAGAGGAAUACUCAUUGCGAAGGCGACCUGCUGGAACAUUACUGACGCUGAUUGCGCGAAAGCGUGGGGAGCAAACAGGAUUAGAUACCCUGGUAGUCCACGCCCUAAACGAUGGAUGCUAGUUGUUGGAGGGCUUAGUCUCUCCAGUAAUGCAGCUAACGCAUUAAGCAUCCCGCCUGGGGAGUACGGUCGCAAGAUUAAAACUCAAAGGAAUAGACGGGGACCCGCACAAGCGGUGGAGCAUGUGGUUUAAUUCGAAGAUACACGAAGAACCUUACCUAGGCUUGACAUUGAGAGAAUCCGCUAGAAAUAGUGGAGUGUUUGGCUUGCCAGACCUUGAAAACAGGUGCUGCACGGCUGUCGUCAGCUCGUGUCGUGAGAUGUUGGGUUAAGUCCCGCAACGAGCGCAACCCCCUUUCUUAGUUGCUAACAGGUCAUGCUGAGAACUCUAAGGAUACUGCCUCCGUAAGGAGGAGGAAGGUGGGGACGACGUCAAGUCAUCAUGGCCCUUACGCCUAGGGCUACACACGUGCUACAAUGGGGUGCACAAAGAGAAGCAAUACUGCGAAGUGGAGCCAAUCUUCAAAACACCUCUCAGUUCGGAUUGUAGGCUGCAACUCGCCUGCAUGAAGCUGGAAUCGCUAGUAAUCGCAAAUCAGCCAUGUUGCGGUGAAUACGUUCCCGGGUCUUGUACUCACCGCCCGUCACACCAUGGGAGUUGUGUUUGCCUUAAGUCAGGAUGCUAAAUUAGCUACUGCCCACGGCACACACAGCGACUGGGGUGAAGUCGUAACAAGGUAACCGUAGGUGAACCUGCGGUUG
rnacentral:rRNA from 1 species